rnacentral:SRP_RNA from 2 species
GCUGGGUGCGGUGGCUCACGCCUGUAAUCCCAGCACUUUGGGAGGCCGAGGCGGGUGGAUCAUGAGGUCAGGAGUUCGAGACCAGCCUGGCCAAGAUGGUGGGAUUACAAGCAUGCACCAUCACGCCAGACUAAUUUUUGUAUUUUUAGUAGUGAUGGGGUUUCGUCAUGUUGGCCAGGCUGGUCUCGAACUCCUGACCUCAAGUGAUCCGUCCGCCUU